rnacentral:rRNA from 1 species
UACGAAGGGGGCUAGCGUUGUUCGGAAUUACUGGGCGUAAAGGGCGCGUAGGCGGUGUGUCAAGUCAGGCGUGAAAGCCCCGGGCUCAACCUGGGAAUUGCGUUGGAGACUGCAAGGCUGGAGUCUGGCAGAGGGGGGUAGAAUUCCACGUGUAGCAGUGAAAUGCGUAGAGAUCGGGAGGAACAUCAGUGGCGAAGGCGGCCAUCUGGGACAACACUGACGCUGAAGCACGAAAGCGUGGGGAGCAAACAGG